rnacentral:rRNA from 1 species
UUGGGAAUUUUGGACAAUGGGGGAAACCCUGAUCCAGCCAUCCCGCGUGUGCGAUGAAGGCCUUCGGGUUGUAAAGCACUUUUGGCAGGAAAGAAACGUCAUGGGUUAAUACCCCGUGAAACUGACGGUACCUGCAGAAUAAGCACCGGCUAACUACGUGCCAGCAGCCGCGGUAAUACGUAGGGUGCAAGCGUUAAUCGGAAUUACUGGGCGUAAAGCGUGCGCAGGCGGUUCGGAAAGAAAGAUGUGAAAUCCCAGAGCUCAACUUUGGAACUGCAUUUUUAACUACCGGGCUAGAGUGUGUCAGAGGGAGGUGGAAUUCCGCGUGUAGCAGUGAAAUGCGUGGAUAUGCGGAGGAACACCGAUGGCGAAGGCAGCCUCCUGGGAUAACACUGACGCUCAUGCACGAAAGCGUGGGGAGCAAACAGG